CAGCAGCCGCGGGAAUACGUAGGGUGCAAGCGUUAAUCGGAAUUACUGGGCGUAAAGCGUGCGCAGGCGGUCCGCUAAGACAGAUGUGAAAUCCCCGGGCUUAACCUGGGAACUGCAUUUGUGACUGGCGGGCUAGAGUAUGGCAGAGGGGGGUAGAAUUCCACGUGUAGCAGUGAAAUGCGUAGAGAUGUGGAGGAAUACCGAUGGCGAAGGCGGCGACCUGGUCCAUAACUGACGCUGAGGCGCGAAAGCGUGGGGAGCAAACAGGAUUAGAGACCCGCGUAGUCCCUGUCUCUUAUAC
rnacentral:rRNA from 1 species